rnacentral:rRNA from 1 species
UACAGAGGGUGCGAGCGUUGUCCGGAAUCACUGGGCGUAAAGGGCGUGUAGGCGGCUUGGUAAGCCGCGUGUGAAAUCCCGGGGCUCAACCCCGGAUGGCGACGCGGGACGUGCCUGGCGUUGAGCAUGGUAGAGGCGAGUGGAAUUCCUGGUGUAGCGGUGGAAUGCGUAGAGAUCAGGAAGAACACCGGUGGCGAAGGCGGCUCGCUGGGCCGAUUGCUGACGCUGAGGCGCGAAAGCGUGGGGAGCAAACAGGAUUAGAUACCCCUGUAGU